rnacentral:rRNA from 1 species
GAUGAACGCUGGCGGCGUGCCUAAUACAUGCAAGUCGAGCGAACAGACGGGGAGCUUGCUCCUCUGACGUUAGCGGCGGACGGGUGAGUAACACGUGGAUAACCUACCUAUAAGACUGGGAUAACUUCGGGAAACCGGAGCUAAUACCGGAUAAUAUAUUGAACCGCAUGGUUCAAUAGUGAAAGACGGUUUUGCUGUCACUUAUAGAUGGAUCCGCGCCGCAUUAGCUAGUCGGUAAGGUAACGGCUUACCAAGGCAACGAUGCGUAGCCGACCUGAGAGGGUGAUCGGCCACACUGGAACUGAGACACGGUCCAGACUCCUACGGGAGGCAGCAGUAGGGAAUCUUCCGCAAUGGGCGAAAGCCUGACGGAGCAACGCCGCGUGAGUGAUGAAGGUCUUCGGAUCGUAAAACUCUGUUAUUAGGGAAGAACAAAUGUGUAAGUAACUAUGCACGUCUUGACGGUACCUAAUCAGAAAGCCACGGCUAACUACGUG